rnacentral:rRNA from 1 species
AGGAAAAGAAACCAACAGGGAUUGCCUCAGUAACGGCGAGUGAAGCGGCAAAAGCUCAAAUUUGAAAUCCUUCGGGAGUUGUAAUUUGUAGGUUGGGAGACCCCGCGGCUAGUGGCACCAAGUCCCUUGGAACAGGGCGCCUUAGAGGGUGAGAGCCCCGUAGGUACCACAAUACCGUCUUGUGUCUCCUCUCCAAAGAGUCGAGUUGUUUGGGAAUGCAGCUCAAAGUGGGUGGUAAAUUCCAUCUAAAGCUAAAUACCGGCGAGAGACCGAUAGCGAACAAGUACAGUGAUGGAAAGAUGAAAAGCACUUUGAAAAGAGAGUGAAACAGUACGUGAAAUUGUUGAAAGGGAAGGGCUUGCAAGCAGACACGGCCUUCGUGCCGGGCCAGCAUCGGUUGCUAGGGGUGGAUAAGGAACAAGGAAUGUAGCUCCUCGGAGUAUUAUAGCCUUGCGCGAUACACCCACUGGCGACCGAGGCCUGCGGUAUUCUUUACCUAGGAUGCUGGCGUAAUGGUUGCAAGCCGCCCGUCU